rnacentral:rRNA from 1 species
GGAGGUAGUGACAAUAAAUCACAAUGCGGAACAAUGUUUUGCAAUUGGAUUGAGAACAACGUACAAACCUUAUCGAUAAACAAUUGGAGGGCAAGUCUGGUGCCAGCAGCCGCGGUAAUUCCAGCUCCAAUAGCGUAUAUUAACGUUGUUGCAGUUAAAAAGCUCGUAGUUGAAAUGAAGGGUAGUUGUGUAAUGAAUACAUUCGUGUAUUUUGUUAUUCUACUACCCUCCUUCUAAAUUCGAUAUAUGAGUAUUAAUUUACUUGUAUAUGGUUUUAGACGUUUACUGUGAGAAAAUUAGAGUGUUCAAAGCAGGCAUUUGCUUGAAUAUAUUAGCAUGGAAUAAUCAUGUAUGAUUUUCAUGAUGUAUUUGAUUGGUUUGGUUCAUGAGAAUAAGAUUAAAAGGGACAGUUGGGGGUAUUCAUAUUCAAUAGUCAGAGGUGAAAUUCUCGGAUUUAUGGAAGAUGAACAAGUGCGAAAGCAUUUACCAAGGAUGUUUUCAUUAAUCAAGA